rnacentral:rRNA from 1 species
CGGGAAUAUUGCGCAAUGGGGGCAACCCUGACGCAGCGACGCCGCGUGAGUGAUGAAGGCCUUCGGGUUGUAAAACUCUGUCCUCAGGGAAGAAAACGAUGACGGUACCUGAGGAGGAAGCCCCGGCUAACUACGUGCCAGCAGCCGCGGUAAUACGUAGGGGGCGAGCGUUGUCCGGAAUUAUUGGGCGUAAAGGGUGCGUAGGCGGCCUUUUAAGUCAGAUGUGAAAGACCACAGCUUAACUGUGGGGUUGCAUUUGAAACUGGGAGGCUUGAGUAUCGGAGAGGGUAGUGGAAUUCCAAGUGUAGCGGUGAUAUGCGUAGAUAUUUGGAGGAACACCAGUGGCGAAGGCGACUACCUGGACGAAAACUGACGCUGAGGCACGAAAGCUAGGGGAGCAAAC